AUUUAUACUAAUUACUAACUACAACACAAUAUACACUACUUAUAUACAAUAUAUACUACUUAAAUACAAUAUAUACUACUUAUAUACAAAAUAUACACUACUUAUACAUAUUAUAUACUAAUUACCAAACACAAUAUAUACUAUACUAAUCACAUAGUACACCAUAUAAAAUAUAUUCUACAAUAUACUAAUGACUACUAUACAAGAUAUUGAUUUAAAAAAAAAAA
rnacentral:lncRNA from 1 species